rnacentral:rRNA from 1 species
GACGAACGCUGGCGGCGUGCCUAAUACAUGCAAGUAGAACGCACAGUUUAUACCGUAGCUUGCUACACCAUAGACUGUGAGUUGCGAACGGGUGAGUAGCGCGUAGGUAACCUGCCUGGUAGCGGGGGAUAACUAUUGGAAACGAUAGCUAAUACCGCAUAAUAUUGAUUAUUGCAUGAUAAUUGAUUGAAAGAUGCUAUUGCAUCACUACCAGAUGGACCUGCGUUGUAUUAGCUAGUAGGGGAGGUAACGGCUCACCUAGGCGACGAGACAUAGCCGACCGGAGAAGGGGAUCGGCCACACUGGGACUGAGACACGGCCCAGACCCCUACGGGAGGCAGCAGUAGGGAAUCUUCGGCAAUGGACGAAAGUCUGACCGAGCAACGCCGCGUGAGUGAAGAAGGUUUUCGGAUCGUAAAGCUCUGUUGUAAGAGAAGAACGGGUGUGAGAGUGGAAAGUUCACACUGUGACGGUAUCUUACCAGAAAGGGACGGCUAACUACGUG